rnacentral:rRNA from 1 species
AACGAACGCUGGCGGCAUGCCUAACACAUGCAAGUCGAACGAGACCUUCGUGCCUAGUGGCGCACGUGUGCGUAACGCGUGGGAACUUGCCCUUAGGUUCGGUAUAACUCCCUGUAAGGGGUGCUAAUACCGGUUAAUGUCAUCGCACCUAAGAUUUACCGCUUUUGGAUGGGCGCGCGUUGGAUUCGCCAGUUGGUAGGGUAAAAGCCUACCAAGGCGACGUUGCAUAGCUGGUCUGAGAGGAUGAUUAGCCACACUGGGGCUGAGGCACGGACCAGACUCGGACGGAGAGGAGGAGAGGAGAGUAUUGGACGAGGGGGGAUGACGUAGUCAAGCCGUGCCGGGGAAGUGAUGAUGGCGGUAGGAUUGUGAUGCUCUUUUAGCCGAGAUGUGAAUGACAGUACCGGGAGAAUAAGCACCGGCUAACUACGUG